UCGCUCUGGCAGCGUAUACACUACAAGUGGAACAGUACAGAGAAGAUUAGCAUAGUCCCUGUACAAGGUGACAUGCUUCUUAGCAGUUAAGGCAUUUGCCUGU